UACUCCGUCGUAAAGGUUCGUAAUCAUCGUCGGCAGAGUCAGAGCAGAGCAGGUAUGUCUUUUCUUAUGGUUUCAACGCACCAACGAAAGAAAUCAGGAGACGUUACGCAAAUUCGUCGAGUCCAAACGUCGUAUUUAAUGCCUUCAUUAACAAUAUCUAUCCACUCCUCUCACGAUCUCUCAUUCAAUAGACAAAAAUGGAUACUUUGCUAUCUUCCUCGCUGAUUUGAAAGCAUGAUGUUAAGGAAAAGAUCAUACUUAUCAGAUGAGUCCUUUAACAGCCUUAUGAAUACACUCUUGGAAUAGUUUGCUAACUUGAGUAUUCUUCAUUUGCUGGUGAUCGCUAAAUUAGUUAAACUUUCAUGAGUCGGAUCCUACUUAUCUGUUUCAUAUUAAACGUGGCGUUGAAAAAAUCUUUUAUAUGUUCUCUCUCAGGUCUGUCAUGUAUGCAGAAAUACUCUUUAUAGAUAAAAGACUUGAUUGCAGUGUUUAAGUGUUUAUAGAUAACUGAUCGUCACUGUUUUUGUUUGUCCAGGUGGUUUCAUCUUCUUCUUAUGAUCAGAACGAUGAAAUGCUUGACGAUGAGAUUCAAGGAGAAGAAGCUUCAGAACCUUGUCUUGCUGGAAAGAGAAGAAAAGAAACUGAAAGAUCAAGCUCUGUUCUUCUACCAAAACCAACGAAAUUAAUUGCUCAUAGAGUAAAGGUAUGGGAAUUAUUUAUCCAAGAAGAGGAUGAUCCUACGAAAAGCAAUUGUUGUUUCUGUGAAUUUUCAGAAGUUGCAAGUAGGACUUAAAACACGUAUUGUUCGUAUUCUCCACGUGAAGGAGCUUAAUGUAUUUUGGUUCCAUUUUGUAUUUGAUUCAGCUUGAGUUGCAAUAUGUGUUUGUUCAAGACUUUUAGAUGCAA